GAUGAACGCUGGCGGCGUGCCUAAUACAUGCGAGUCGAGCGAACAGAUGAGGAGCUUGCUCCUCUGACGUUAGCGGCGGACGGGUGAGUAACACGUGGAUAACCUACCUAUAAGACUGGGAUAACUUCGGGAAGCCGGAGCUAAUACCGGAUAAUAUAUUGAACCGCAUGGUUCAAUAGUGAAAGACGGUUUUGCUGUCACUUAUAGAUGGAUCCGCGCCGCAUUAGCUAGUUGGUAAGGUAACGGCUUACCAAGGCAACGAUGCGUAGCCGACCUGAGAGGGUGAUCGGCCACACUGGAACUGAGACACGGUCCAGACUCCUACGGGAGGCAGCAGUAGGGAAUCUUCCGCAAUGGGCGAAAGCCUGACGGAGCAACGCCGCGUGAGUGAUGGAGGUCUUCGGAUCGUAAAACUCUGUUAUUAGGGAAGAACAAAUGUGUAAGUAACUAUGCACGUCUUGACGGUACCUAAUCAGAAAGCCACGGCUAACUACGUG
rnacentral:rRNA from 1 species